UUUCCGUAGGUGAACCUGCGGAAGGAUCAUUAUUGUAUUACCGUCGUUCUAGCCCUGUCUCUGACCCGUUAGGCCGUUCACGCCCCGUUGCCCUCACACGCCCCCACCCCCCCCCCGCGGGCACCACCGCGUGGGUCCCCCUGGGCCUUGUUCGGAGGGGGGCUUACGUUUUCAAACAAACUUUAUAAGCUGCGUAGAACGUAUUUUUUGUAUUUGAGAUAAGGAAACCUUUACACCUUUGAACAACGGGUCUCUUGGCUCUCGCAUCGAUCAGGAAAG
rnacentral:misc_RNA from 1 species